rnacentral:rRNA from 1 species
AUUCGAUGCAACGCGAAGAACCUUACCAGAUCUUGACAUCCUCAGAAUCGAUUAGAAGUAAUUGAGUGCCUUCGGGAACUGAGAGACAGGUGGUGCAUGGCUGUCGACAGCUCGUGUCGUGAGAUGUUGGGUUAAGUCCCGCAACGAGCGCAACCCUUAUCGUUAGUUACCAUCAUUAAGUUGGGGACUCUAGCGAGACUGCCUGCGAAGAGCAGGAGGAAGGUGGGGAUGACGUCAAGUCAUCAUGCCCCUUAUGAUCUGGGCUACACACGUGCUACAAUGGUUGGUACAAUGAGGAGCGAGACGGAGACGUGGAGCAAAUCUGUGAAAGCCAAUCUUAGUUCGGAUUGAAGUCUGCAACUCGACUUCAUGAAGUUGGAAUCGCUAGUAAUCGCAAAUCAGCAAUGUUGCGGUGAAUACGUUCCCGGGCCUAGUACAC